UUUUGUUGCGGUUUAGCCUU
rnacentral:misc_RNA from 1 species